rnacentral:rRNA from 1 species
GACGAACGCUGGCGGCGUGCUUUACACAUGCAAGUCGAACGGUGAAGGUGGAGCUUGCUCCGCCGGAUCAGUGGCGAACGGGUGAGUAACACGUGGGCAACCUGCCCCUAACUUUGGGAUAACUACUCGAAAGAGUAGCUAAUACCGGAUAUGAAGUCUGUAGGCAUCUAUGGAUUUGGAAAGUUUUUCGGUUAGGGAUGGGCCCGCGGGCUAUCAGCUUGUUGGUGAGGUAGUGGCUCACCAAGGCGACGACGGGUAGCCGGCCUGAGAGGGCGACCGGCCACACUGGGACUGAGACACGGCCCAGACUCCUACGGGGGGCAGCAGUGGGGAAUAUUGCGCAAUGGGCGAAAGCCUGACGCAGCAACGCCGCGUGCGGGAUGAAGGCCUUCGGGUUGUAAACCGCUUUCAGCAGGGAAGAAGCGAAAGUGACGGUACCUGCAGAAGAAGCACCGGCUAACUACGUGCCAGCCGCCGCAGUAA